UCUUCUCCAAGGCAAUCACUUUUCUCGCUUUUUUUCUUCUUCUUUCUUCUUUUUCAUAUCAAGUUAGGUUUUCGUUUUUUUUUUUUAAUUUCCGGUUUAUUGUUGUUGAACGUUGACAGUGGGUUUUCUUCUCCCAAGCAAUCAACUUCGUCGAGGUUGACAGAAGUUUUGGUUGGUAUUUAAUUUUUGCAAGGCAAUCGAUAGGAUCUUCUUCUUCAAGGCAAUCAACUUCGUCGAGCCGUUUGAAAUGCUGGGGAGAUGGUGUUUGUUGUUAAAAUAACACAUAGAAGGAUUUUUCAUGUUUUGCAGCUUCUUGGACUGAUAUCAUUUGUUUAAAUCUUGAUGAAAUAAUUGUGGGUGAGGCUGAUGUUGUUGAUUGUGGCCAACAUGAUUUUGAUCACUACAACAAUUAUCAUUGUUUCCCACACUAAAUCUCAAUCCAUGUAGUUCAAUUUUUAAAUUUUUUUUGGCUAUCGUGUUACUUUUUUCCUAAAAAUGGCAUUAUAUGAUUUAUGGUUUGUAAUGCUUCUUUAGUGUUUAUAGUCACUUAAGUGUUUGUGUUCAUUGGUUGUUGCAACCGAUAGUUCUAGGAGUUGAAUUUACCUUCGAUUGAUUGAAUUUGGUACCUAAACGGUUAAAGGCAGUUGAAGACAUUUUAGAUUGUGGUUUGAGUAACAAAGGUGUAUGAGAUAAUGCUA